GUGAGGAAUAUUGGUCAAUGGGCGAAAGCCUGAACCAGCCAUGUCGCGUGAAGGAUGAAGGUCCUAUGGAUUGUAAACUUCUUUUGCAGGAGGGUAAAGUGAGCUACGUGUAGUUCAUUGCAAGUACCCUGCGAAUAAGCAUCGGCUAACUCCGUGCCAGCAGCCGCGGUAAUACGGAGGAUGCGAGCGUUAUCCGGAUUUAUUGGGUUUAAAGGGUGCGUAGGCGGACUAAUUAGUCAGCGGUGAAAUUUUGCGGCUCAACCGUAAAACUGCCGUUGAAACUGUUAGUCUUGAGUGCGGUAGAGGUAGGCGGAAUGUGUGGUGUAGCGGUGAAAUGCUUAGAUAUCACACAGAACACCGAUUGCGUAGGCAGCUUACUGGAGCGCAACUGACGCUGAGGCACGAAAGCGUGGGGAUCGAACAGGAUUAGAUACCCUGGUAGUCC
rnacentral:rRNA from 1 species